rnacentral:pre_miRNA from 2 species
GUGACAGAAGAGAGUGAGCACACAUGGCCUUUCUUGCAUAUAUACAUGCUUGAAGCGAUCUGUGCUCACCCUCUAUCUGUCAC